rnacentral:rRNA from 1 species
CAGUCGCCACGGUAAAACGUAGGUCCCGAGCGUUGUCCGGAUUUAUUGGGCGUAAAGCGAGCGCAGGCGGUUAGAUAAGUCUGAAGUUAAAGGCUGUGGCUUAACCAUAGUACGCUUUGGAAACUGUUUAACUUGAGUGCAGAAGGGGAGAGUGGAAUUCCAUGUGUAGCGGUGAAAUGCGUAGAUAUAUGGAGGAACACCGGUGGCGAAAGCGGCUCUCUGGUCUGUAACUGACACUGAGGCGCGAAAGCGUGGGGAGCAAAUGGGAUUAGAUACCCGUGUAGUCCCUGUCUCUUAUACA